rnacentral:rRNA from 1 species
GGGCCCGCACAAGCGGUGGAGCAUGUGGUUUAAUUCGAUGAUACGCGAGGAACCUUACCAGGGCUUAAAUGUAGGUUGCAUGAUCUAGAGAUAGAUCUUUCUUCGGACUACCUACAAGGUGCUGCAUGGUUGUCGUCAGCUCGUGCCGUGAGGUGUCAGGUUAAGUCCUAUAACGAGCGCAACCCCCUGUCGUUAGUUACCAGCAUUUUAGUUGGGCACUCUAGAGAGACUGCCGGUGAUAAACCGGAGAAGGUGUGGAUGACGUCAAGUCAUCAUGCCCCUUACAUCUGGGCUACACACGUACUACAAUGCUACGGACAAAGGGCAGCAAGUUCGCGAGGACAAGCAAAUCCCAUAAACGUGGCUC